rnacentral:rRNA from 1 species
AACGCACCUUGCACCCCUUGGCAUUCCGAGGGGUACACCCGUUUGAGUGUCGUGAAAUUCUCAAACCUUCUUGGUUUCUAUGACCAAGAUGGCUUUUGGACUUUUGGAGGUCUUUUGCCGGCUUUGCGAAAAGUCGGCUCCUCUUAAAUGCAUUAGUGGGGUCCUCUUUGCUGAUCCCCAGGCGUUGAUAAGAUGCUUCUACGUCUUGGGAUUCGCUCUGUUCAUUGGCAACCCGCUUCUAACCGUCUCACAAUAAGGAGACAUCGUUCGAGCUUUGCUCGACCCUACGAACCUUGACCUCAAAUCGGGUGAGACUACCCGCUGAACUUAAGCAUAUCAUAGCGGAGG